rnacentral:lncRNA from 1 species
CCAGGAUGCUGCACUUGGAUGGACUUGAAAGAGUUCUGUUUGUUCCAACGUCUAUAAAAACAUCAUGAACUUGAGAUUUCUGACAAGGACAUCAGCACUGGGUGAAAAGACGCACACAUAUCCUGACUCAAGGGCCUGUAAUUCUAUCCGUGACGUGGUUCUCCAAGUCCAGCUUUGUUCAUCCCAGCUCAUGUUCCACAUAAGUUUGUCAGGCCCAUGCUCCUUAGCCUUUGAGUUUCAGAAUGGCUCUCCUAAAAGGAACACUCCUAUUUGUCCAGGUUGCGAUCUCAUAUUCACUCUGGGCCAGACCAACUACACAACUCCUUAAUUCUUCAGUUGGCCGGGAGUGAGGUUCCAGGAUGCCACAGCCCUGUGCUCUGAAGACAACAAGUUCAUCUAUUCAGAUGGAUCUGAUUCACCUGACCUUAGGAGGAAUACACUGAAUUAUUUUUCAUGCUAGAGCAUAUUCCCAGGGCGCUGGGGCAGAGACCACGUCCUAAACCCAACUCAAAUGUGGCCUGUGCUCUUGGCUGAAGAAAAGCAUGGAAAGCAGUUGGGGACCUGCAUCCCCAAGACUGUCAGCCCUUCUCCAGGGCUAGCAACAAGCAGAGUGUAGCAGUGAGAAGAUGCUCUUGGCAGGCUCCAGAUAGCUGUGCCCUCAGCCCAGGAGGACUCAGCCAAUGAAGACUCAGCUAAUGAAAGCUCAGCAUGGAGGUGGCAAAGGGCUGCAGCCCCACCAAACUCUUUGCCUCCAGGCGCUGUGGUGGUGAAGAACUGAAAUACACAAACCUUGGGGCUUCCCCUUGUCCCUGAAACUGCAGAAGAUGCUGGCUCGGGAGAACUCAGGUUCCUAGGACACAGGUUGAUUGAUUUUGCAUUGGCUGAUUUUCAAGAACUUACCAGAAAUUUUGGUCAGGACUUGGCAAAUUGAAAGGUUCACAGGGAGCUGCCCAGUUGAAAGAGGUUGUGGAAGGCAGAGAGGGGAAGACUCAUUUUACCUUAAUACAAGCCUCGGAAGAAGGAAAAUUGCUUGGAUGUUGGGGAGAAGGUGC